rnacentral:lncRNA from 1 species
CGCCUUACCCAGAAAUGGCUGGCCUCGGUAUUCCACAUCGUCACCCGUGCAGCCUGCCCUUCGCGGAGUCCCGGAGCCCUGAAAUUGGUUUUAUAUAGAAGUUAAUCUUAUAUAAAGGCAAAGUCGGAAAGUUAACCCUGGUGGCACCAGUACUGUAGAGCUAACAGGCUGAACAACACAGAUAACACCCCGGCCCAGACACAGAAUUGGCAAACCCCAACAUCAUAUGCUAUCUAAACUGUUGGUUCCAUAAAGGGAUGGUCCUGCAGAACCGAAGCUGCAGACAUGACACAGGGCAACAGCAGGAUAAUAAGAAGAAUCCUGGUGAGGAUCCAGUAUCAAUAAGGUAGCAGAAGACUGAUGCCUCGAACCAUAUCAAUGAUUCAUAGCAAUGAACACUUGCAGGUGUACAUAUCUGGACUAUUGUUCUUGUGGUGGUUUGCAUAUACUUG